UCCGGAGGGGGCUAGCGUUGUUCGGAAUUACUGGGCGUAAGGCGCACGUAGGCGGCUUUGUAAGUUAGAGGUGAAAGCCCGGAGCUCAACUCCGGAAUAGCCUUUAAGACUGCAUCGCUAGAACGUUGGAGAGGUAAGUGGAAUUCCGAGUGUAGAGGUGAAAUGCGUAGAUAUCGUAAGGAAGACCAGUGGCGAAGGCGAAUCUCUGGACAGUUACUGACACUGAGGCACGAAGGCCAGGGGAGCAAACGGG
rnacentral:rRNA from 1 species